GCCUCCCUCCGCCGCCACUCAGACUCCUACGGAACGGACGAGCAGGUGGGUAAGUUUGGUCGCAAGUGGGAACCGUGACGCAGCACGCCGCGUGGAGGAGUGAAUAUCUUGUAUGUAACUCCUUCGAUGGGAAGAUUAUGACGGUACCCAUAGAAGAAGCCCGGCUAACUUCGUGCCAGCAGCCGCGGUAAUAC
rnacentral:rRNA from 1 species